GAUGAACGCUGGCGGCGUGCCUAAUACAUGCAAGUCGAGCGAACAGACGAGGAGCUUGCUCCUCUGACGUUAGCGGCGGACGGGUGAGUAACACGUGGAUAACCUACCUAUAAGACUGGGAUAACUUCGGGAAACCGGAGCUAAUACCGGAUAAUAUAUUGAACCGCAUGGUUCAAUAGUGAAAGACGGUUUUGCUGUCACUUAUAGAUGGAUCCGCGCCGCAUGAGCUAGUUGGUAAGGUAACGGCUUACCAAGGCAACGAUGCGUAGCCGACCUGAGAGAGGGAUCGGCCGCACUGGAACUGAGACACGGUCCAGACUCCUACGAGAGGCAGCAGUAGGGAAUCUUCCGCAAUGGGCGAAAACCUUGCGGAGCAACGCCGCGUGAGUUAUGAAGGUCUUCGGAUCGUAAAACUCUGUUAUUAGGGAAGAACAAAUGUGUAAGUAACUAUGCACGUCUUGACGGUACCUAAUCAGAAAGCCACGGCUAACUACGUG
rnacentral:rRNA from 1 species